rnacentral:tRNA from 2 species
GCUUUUGUAGUUUAAUGGAUAGAACACGGCCCUCCGAAGGCUGAAAUGUGGGUUCGAUUCCCGCCGAAAGCACAA